rnacentral:rRNA from 1 species
GAUGAACGCUGGCGGCGUGCCUAAUACAUGCAAGUCGAGCGAACAGACGAGGAGCUUGCUCCUCUGACGUUAGCGGCGGACGGGUGAGUAACACGUGGAUAACCUACCUAUAAGACUGGGAUAACUUCGGGAAACCGGAGCUAAUACCGGAUAAUAUAUUGAACCGCAUGGUUCAAUAGUGAAAGACGGUUUUGCUGUCACUUAUAGAUGGAUCCGCGCCGCAUUAGCUAGUUGGUAAGGUAACGGCUUACCAAGGCAACGAUGCGUAGCCGACCUGAGAGGGUGAUCGGACACACUGGAACUGCGACACGGUCCAGACUCCUACGGGAGGCAGCAGUAGGGAAUCUUCCGCAAUGGGCGAAAGCCUGACGGAGCAACGCCGCGUGAGUGAUGAAGGUCUUCGGAUCGUAAAACUCUGUUAUUAGGGAAGAACAAAUGUGUAAGUAACUAUGCACGUCUUGACGGUACCUAAUCAGAAAGCCACGGCUAACUACGUG